AAUGGACGAAAGUCUGACGGAGCGACGCCGCGUGGAUGAGGAAGGCCGAAAGGUUGUAAAGUCCUUUAGUCGAUGAAGAACAAGUGGUGGAGGGAAUGCCAUCAUGAUGACGUUAGUCGGCGAAUAAGCCCCGGCUAAUUACGUGCCAGCAGCCGCGGUAACACGUAAGGGGCAAGCGUUGUUCGGAAUUAUUGGGCGUAAAGGGUACGUAGGCGGUUAUGUAAGCCCGGCGUGAAAUCCUGCAGCUUAACUGUAGAGCUGCGCUGGGAACUGCGUAACUUGAGUCAUGGAAGGGAAGUUAGAAUUCCAGGUGUAGGGGUGAAAUCUGUAGAUAUCUGGAAGAAUACCGGUGGCGAAGGCGAACUUCUGGCCAAUGACUGACGCUGAGGUACGAAAGUGCGGGGAGCAAA
rnacentral:rRNA from 1 species